AGGCUGGUCGCCACCCUGUAGAGGGAGUUGUUGACAGAGGCUCUCAGGCUCCCAACCCCAGCUCAGCAUGUAGCAAGGACCACCGAGCGCCAGCCUGGUUCCCUAUGAGGGGCUCGCCCCGGGCAUCCUGCCGCCAUGGAGAGUGUGCUCGGUGGGUGGGACACAGAUGUGGCUGCGUCACAGAGCAUCUUGGGAAGUGAGGGGCUCUCAGAGAUAAAGUCCACGUCUUGGGGAAGAGCAUUUUCCAGACCGGCAGAGCAAGCAGCCGGGAAAGGCCCUGAGAAGAACACGUCCUUGGCGGUUUGGGAGGAUGACCCCGGGGGGCUCGCUACCAGACCCUGGGGGAGGAGUACGUCAGCAUCAUCCAGGUGGACCCAUCUCAGACACAUGUGCCCUCCUCGCUGCGCCGUGGCGUGCUGGUGACACUGCAGGCCAUCCUGCCCUACCUGCUGGACAAGGCCCUGCUCCCCCUGGAGCAGGAGCUGCAGGCUGACUCCGACGGUGGGCGACCCUCGCAGGGGAGCCUGGUGCCAGGUGGGCGUGGCUGCUCAGGGGCGCGGCGCUGGAUGCGUCACCACACGGCCACGCUGACUGAGCAGCAGA
rnacentral:sRNA from 1 species